rnacentral:rRNA from 1 species
UACGUAGGGCGCAAGCGUUGUCCGGAAUUAUUGGGCGUAAAGAGCUCGUAGGCGGUUUGUCGCGUCUGCUGUGAAAACCUCAGGCUCAACCUGGGGCUUGCAGUGGGUACGGGCAGACUAGAGUGUGGUAGGGGAGACUGGAAUUCCUGGUGUAGCGGUGAAAUGCGCAGAUAUCAGGAGGAACACCGAUGGCGAAGGCAGGUCUCUGGGCUGACACUGACGCUCAUGCACGAAAGCCGUGGGGAGCAAACAGG